rnacentral:tRNA from 2 species
GGAGGUGUCCGAGACCUGGUGGGCUCCACCGCCUUCAAAGCGGUUGGCCGUGGCGAACCCACGGCGGCGGGUUCGAUUCCCGUCCACCUCCGCCA